CAUAACGUAUGGAAGGGAACCCGGUGAACUGAAACAUCUAAGUAGCCGGAGGAAAAGAAAGAAACAUCGAUUCUGGGAGUAGCGGCGAGCGAAACCGGAGGAGCCUAAACCAGCGUGCGUGCAUGCUGGGGUUAAGGACUGCAACAAGUGACCGGAAGGUUAACAGAAUGGUUUUGGGAAAGCCAGCCAUAGAGGGUGAAAGCCCCGUAUGUGAAAACCGGAAGGAGCGGCAGGAUCCAGAGUACUACGAGACACGUGGAACCUUGUAGGAAAUCGGGGGGACCACCCCCCAAGGCUAAAUACUCCUUAGUGACCGAUAGCGCAUAGUACUGUGAAGGAAAGGUGAAAAGGACCCCGGGAGGGGAGUGAAAGAGAACCUGAAACCCUGUGUUUACAAGCUGUGGAACAUCAUUAUUCGAUGAACCGCGUACUUUUUGUAGAACGGUCCGGCGAGUUACGCUUACUGGCAAGGUUAAGCACUUCAGGUGUGGAGCCGUAGGGAAACCAAGUCUUAAGAGGGCCUUAAGUCAGUAGGAGUAGACCCGAAACCGGGUGAUCUAUCCAUGUCCAGGUUGAAGCUGCCGUAAGAGGUAGUGGAGGACCGAACGCACAUCCGUUGAAAAGGGUGGCGAUGAGGUGUGGAUAGGGGAGAAAUUCCAAUCGAACCCGGAGAUAGCUGGUUCUCCUCGAAAUAGCUUUAGGGCUAGCCUCGUAUUAGUCUAGUGGAGGUAGAGCACUGAAUUUCCUAGGGGGCGUCAAAGCUUACCGAAGAAUAUCAAACUCCGAAUGCCAUAUAGAUGAUGUACGGGAGUCAGACUGCACGAGAUAAGUUGGGCAGUCAAAAGGGAAAGAGCCCAGACCGCCAGCUAAGGUCCCAAAGUGUGUGUUAAGUGGAAAAGGAUGUGGGAUUUCGAAGACAACUAGGAUGUUGGCUCAGAAGCAGCCAUACAUUCAAAGAGUGCGUAAUAGCUCACUAGUCGAGAGGUCCUGCGCCGAAAAUGUCCGGGGCUGAAACACAACACCGAAGCUGCGGAAUUGCGAAUGCAAUUGGUAGAGGAGCAUUCUUAAUACCGACGAAGCUGUACCGGAAGGAGCAGUGGAGGGAUAAGAAGAGAGAAUGCCGGAAUGAGUAGCGAGAGGAAGGUGGGAAUCCUUCCGGCCGAAUAUCUAAGGUUUCCAGAGUAAAGCUGAUCUGCUCUGGGUAAGUCGGGACCUAAGGCGAGGCCGAGAGGCGUAGCCGAUGGACAACAGGUUGAGAUUCCUGUACUACAGUAUAACAGAACUGUGGGGACGCAGAAGGAGAGCACUACCUGGAAUGGAAUCCAGGGGCAAGCACAGGAGGGGUACGGCUGGAAAAACCGCCGUGCAACCCAAAGGUGUGACGCAUACCGAACUAAAGUAGGGAAAUGUGUGAGCCGGCUGCCGAGAAAAGCCGCUAUUGUUUGUACUGUACCCGUACCGUAAACCGACACAGGUGGAUGAGGAGAGAAUCCUAAGGCCGACGGAAGAAGCAUUGCUAAGGAACUCGGCAAAAUGACCCUGUAACUUCGGGAGAAAGGGUGCCUCGAAAGAGGCCGCAGAGAAUAGGCCCAAGCAACUGUUUAGCAAAAACACAGGUCUAUGCAAAACCGCAAGGUGAAGUAUAUGGGCUGACGCCUGCCCGGUGCUGGAAGGUUAAGGGGAGAUGUCAGGAGACGAAGCAUCGAACUUAAGCCCCAGUAAACGGCGGCCGUAACAAUAACGGUCCUAAGGUAGCGAAAUUCCUUGUCGGGUAAGUUCCGACCCGCACGAAAGGCGUAAUGAUUUGGGCGCUGUCUCGGCAAUGCAUCCGGUGAAAUUGAAGUGCCAGUGAAGAUGCUGGCUACCCGCGCCAGGACGGAAAGACCCCAUGGAGCUUUACUCCAGCUUGAUACUGGGAUUCGGUAUUGUAUGUACAGGAUAGGUGGGAGGCUGAGAAAUGGUGACGCCAGUCGCCAUGGAGCCGCUGUUGGGAUACCACCCUUGCAGUACUGGAUUUCUAACCAGCAGCCGU
rnacentral:rRNA from 1 species